rnacentral:rRNA from 1 species
CCUACGGGAGGCAGCAGUGGGGAAUCUUGCGCAAUGGGCGAAAGCCUGACGCAGCCAUGCCGCGUGAAUGAUGAAGGUCUUAGGAUUGUAAAAAUUCUUUCACCGGGGACGAUAAUGACGGUACCCGGAGAAGAAGCCCCGGCUAACUUCGUGCCAGCAGCCGCGGUAAUACGAAGGGGGCUAGCGUUGCUCGGAAUUACUGGGCGUAAAGGGAGCGUAGGCGGACAUUUAAGUCAGGGGUGAAAUCCCAGAGCUCAACUCUGGAACUGCCUUUGAUACUGGGUGUCUUGAGUGUGAUAGAGGUAUGUGGAACUCCGAGUGUAGAGGUGAAAUUCGUAGAUAUUCGGAAGAACACCAGUGGCGAAGGCGACAUACUGGAUCAUUACUGACGCUGAGGCUCGAAAGCGUGGGGAGCAAACAGGAUUAGAUACCCUGGUAGUCCACGCCGUAAACGAUGAUUGCUAGUGUCGGGUGUUACUAUCUCGUGACGCAGCUACGCAUAGACAUCGCCUGGAGUACGGUCGCGAGAUAAACUACAAGAAGUAGACGCGUGAGAGUGCGACGCGACGACGAGGGAGAG